GAUGAACGCUGGCGGCGUGCCUAAUACAUGCAAGUCGAGCGAACGGACGAGAAGCUUGCUUCUCUGAUGUUAGCGGCGGACGGGUGAGUAACACGUGGAUAACCUACCUAUAAGACUGGGAUAACUUCGGGAAACCGUAUCUAAUACCGGAUAAUAUUUUGAACCGCAUGGUUCAAAAGUGAAAGACGUUCUUGCUGUCACUUAUAGAUGGAUCCUCGCUGCAUUAGCUAGUUGGUAAGGUAACGGCUUACCAAGGCAACGAUGCAUAGCCGACCUGAGAGGGUGAUCGGCCACACUGGAACUGAGACACGGUCCAGACUCCUACGGGAGGCAGCAGUAGGGAAUCUUCCGCAAUGGGCGAAAGCCUGACGGAGCAACGCCGCGUGAGUGAUGAAGGUCUUCGGAUCGUAAAACUCUGUUAUUAGGGAAGAACAUAUGUGUAAGUAACUGUGCACAUCUUGACGGUACCUAAUCAGAAAGCCACGGCUAACUACGUG
rnacentral:rRNA from 1 species